ACAAUAGUAAAAUUCAUAGAAGAAGCCUCUCCAUCAUUACAGUUCUCUCUACCUUAACAAUGGCAUUAUUUCAAAACUUCAGCCUACUUCAAUUUGACAGACAUCGAUGCAAGUGUAUGCCAAAUUAUAACCACACUGAGAAGUACACAAGAGCGAUUAAUUGAUGCAAGUGUAUGCCAAGGCCUUCUCCUCAGAAAGCUCAUCGGCAGUUGCAUCCAUCUUCUUCCUGGAGAACUCAUCAAUAGGAAGUCCUGCACGAUUGUAAAUAAUAAUGAUAUUAAAACUCUGAACAUUUUUGUGCUAGCUAAAGGGAUGGAGGAGCAUGCUCUUACCUUGAACAAUCUUCCAAUCUCCAUUACAACAAGUGACAGGGAAUGAGUAAAUGAGACCAGCUGGUACACCGUAUGAGCCAUCAGAGUACACACCCAUGGAAACCCAAGUACCCUGAAUGAGAGGUCAAGUAAUAUAUAACAUGAUUAGAAUAUAUGUGCAAAACCUAACAACAUUAGGCUAAGACAUGAGAGAGUAAUACAAACCUCUGGGGUUCCAAGUACCCAAUCCCGGAUGUGGUCACAAGCAGAACUAGCAGCUGACAACGCACUGGACAGCUUUCGGGCCUUGAUAAUUGCAGCACCCCGUUGUUGAACAGUGGCAAUGAAUUCUCCAUUCAACCUAACACAGAAUGUAUUGAACAAAAUAAGUAACACAAUAAAAGAACAAGCUAGAAGUCAAGAGUCUUUCAUUCUCAUACCAAGCAUCAUCAGCAACAAGCUCACGGACGGGUUUCUCUCCAGAUGGUGUCUUGACAGUUGCAUGGUUGACAUCAGGAUACUGAGAUGAUGAGUGGUUUCCCCAGAUAAUGACAUUUUUCACAUCAGAAACUUGAACGUUCAAUCUCUCUGAAAUCUGGCCUAAUGCCCUGUUAUGGUCCAGUCUAGUUAGGCAAGAUAUGUUUUUCUCAGGGAUUGAUGGUGCAAAUUCCUUCAAGAUCAAAGCGUUGGUGUUUGCAGGAUUGGCAACAACCAAAACCUGCAGAAGAAAGGAAACAAGAUGGCAAUUUGUAAGUAUAUCAAUUGCAACUUGAAUUAUCAACUACAAUAAUGGCCUCCAUGUUAUACAUGAAUCCUACAACAGUGGCAAUUUGUAAAUAUACAUGUUACGCCAUUCAUUAGACCCAAACCUAAGGAUGAUUUUGUUGUAUAGGGCAAAAAAACCUAACAACUCUAGUUGUUCUGUAGAGGAGGCUCACUCAAAACGUUUCCACAGAGGACACAUGUUCAGGAACCUAAACACUCUUACUCCAUUGAUUAGACCCAUACCUAAAGGGUCAUUUUGUUUGUAUACGGCGAAAAAAAAAACCCCAACAAAUCUAUUUGUUCCGCAGAAGGGUGGUCAAUCACACCCUACAGUAGAGACCACACUCACAGUAAGGCAUCACCAUGAUUCCUGUGUGUGUGUGUUCGCAUUAAAAUCUACAUGGUUUCAUUGAAAACAGAUAAAACUCAUAUCAUGGUUCCAAGUUCAAACAAUUAGCUUUCACGCAUAAUCGAAAAUCAGUUACAAUUCCACAUGAUCAAGGAGCACUACGAUUUUGAAUGGUGCACAUAUUCAUAAUCCAUAACAAUAUACCUAGAAAAAACCAGCAUACUCAAUAACACAUCUGGAAUUCAAUCUCGUUGAGGAGAAAGACAAUUACCUUGCAGUUAGCAGCUGCAUACUUCUCUAGCGCAGAAGCCUGGGACUUGUAGAUAGAAACAUUCUUUGACAUGACAUCCUUCCUUUCCAUGCCCUCCUUCCUUGGGAAGCCACCAACCAUGACUGCGAUGUUAACUCCGGUGCAUGCCUCCACAACAUCAGUUGUAGCAACAACACCUGCAACAUUCAUGUAUCAAAAAUCAGUCCAUGAUCUUGUUAUCUAUAUACUCUACAAACAAUACAUAACUACAUGAUUAAAUCGAUUUAGUAGUUCAUGUUUACCUUUAAGGAGCGGGAAGGCAGCAUCGAUCAACUCCAUCUUGACACCUUUCAAUGCCUCAGCAGCGAAUUCGAUAUCAAGAAGGUGAAGGAUCACGGGCUGGUCGGCUCCGAGCAUCACUCCCCUUGCGAUCAUAGGUACAAGAGCAUAUCCGAUUUGACCUGCAAAUUCCACAAUCCAAACUCAUCAAAAAUCCGGAUCCACUUCACUGAGACUCAUACUACACGAUUCAGAAUCAUCGAUCUAGUCACUACUUCGAUCCUCACACUCUCAAACACAGUAUCAUACUCAAUCAAGUACCAGAUCUUACCACGCGCAUCAAAAUCAAAAGCAUAAUAGCAUAAACGACUUCGUUUUAAAAGAAACUCGUAGAUCUGAGAAGCUAUGAAUGAA
rnacentral:lncRNA from 1 species